rnacentral:lncRNA from 1 species
GAGAGCCUGGCUAGGCAGGCUGGAAACAGUAGCUCUUAACGGUCCCCCGCCCGUUGGUGGCAAGGCGGCUGGACUGGAAUCCCAGCAGGCGACAUGCGAGGAGGCGGGCAGCCCAGGAGGGUUGGACACGGCAAUGUGGACCUCGCCGCUUCCACAACGAUGCUGGCUACUGAUCGCGUGCACUUCCUUGCCAAAGAAAAGAAAUUAAUGUUAUGACUGGAUGAAGACAAUUGUGAAGAAACUGCACUUUGAGGUUGUCUAUCUCUGUAUUCUGAUGGAAAAGCGUGGAGUUUAGAAGCACUGCUCACUCCUUCAGUUUCUAACAAGUUUGAGACUAUGGUUAGGUGGUGAGGAAGGCAGGCUCAGCACCCAAGCCUUGGGGAGACGCAGAAAGGGCCCAUCCCAGGCACUCAGGUGGAGGUGGUCUGUCCUAGAGAACGUUCCAUGUGGAUUUGAGAAGAAUAUAUAUUCUCAUGUUGGAUGCAGUGCUGUGCAUAUGUUUGUUAGGUUUAGUUGUUUUAUGUUGUUGUUCAUGUUUUCUAUUUUUUAUCUUCUGUCUACUUGUUCUAUCCAUUAAUAUAAGUGAAGCAUUAAAGUCUCCAACUAUUACUGUUGAA